rnacentral:rRNA from 1 species
AUUGAACGCUGGCGGCAGGCCUAACACAUGCAAGUCGAACGAGUGGCGGACGGGUGAGUAAUGUCUGGGAAACUGCCUGCUGGAGGGGGAUAACUACUGGAAACGGUAGCUAAUACCGCAUACCAUCAGAUGUGCCCAGAUGGGAUUAGCUAGUGGGUGGAGUAACGGCUCACCAAGGCGACGAUCCCUAGCUGGUCUGAGAGGCUGACCAGCCACACUGUAACUGAUACACGGUCCGGACUCCUAAGGGAGGAAGCAGUGGGGAAUAGUGCACAAUGGGAGCAAGCCUGAUGCAGCCAUGCCGCGUGUAUGAAGAAGGCCUUCGGGUGGUAAAGUACUUACAGCGGGGAGGCGUUACCCGCAGAAGAAGCACCGGCUAACUCAGUGCCAGCAGCCGCGGUAAUAC